GGAAUCUUCCACAAUGGACGCAAGUCUGAUGGAGCAACGCCGCGUGAGUGAAGAAGGUUUUCGGAUCGUAAAGCUCUGUUGUUGGUGAAGAAGGAUAGAGGUAGUAACUGGCCUUUAUUUGACGGUAAUCAACCAGAAAGUCACGGCUAACUACGUGCCAGCAGCCGCGGUAAUACGUAGGUGGCAAGCGUUGUCCGGAUUUAUUGGGCGUAAAGCGAGCGCAGGCGGAAGAAUAAGUCUGAUGUGAAAGCCCUCGGCUUAACCGAGGAAUUGCAUCGGAAACUGUUUUUCUUGAGUGCAGAAGAGGAGAGUGGAACUCCAUGUGUAGCGGUGGAAUGCGUAGAUAUAUGGAAGAACACCAGUGGCGAAGGCGGCUCUCUGGUCUGCAACUGACGCUGAGGCUCGAAAAGCAUGGGUAGCGAACAGGAUUAGAUACCCUGGUAGUCCAUGCCGUAAACGAUGAGUGCUAAGUGUUGGGGAGGUUUUCCGCCUCUCAGUGCUGCAGCUAACGCAUUAAGCACUCCGCCUGGGGGAGUACGACCGCAAGGUUGAAAC
rnacentral:rRNA from 1 species